rnacentral:rRNA from 1 species
AGGACUAACGCUGGCGGCGUGCCUAACACAUGCAAGUCGAACGAGGGGUAGCAAUACCCCUAGUGGCAGACGGGUGAGUAACACGUAGUCAACCUACCUCUUAAUGGGGGAUAACUAGCCGAAAGGUUAGCUAAUACCGCAUACGAUCGUCGAGUGGCAUCACACGACGAUGAAAGGAGCAAUCCGUUGAGAGAGGGGACUGCGUCCCAUUAGUUAGUUGGUGGGGUAAUGGCCUACCAAGACUCCGAUGGGUAGCUGGCUUGAGAGAGCGACCAGCCACACUGGAACUGAGACACGGUCCAGACUCCUACGGGAGGCAGCAGUGAGGAAUUUUGGACAAUGGGCGCAAGCCUGAUCCAGCCAUGCCGCGUGGUGAUGAAGGCCCUAGGGUUGUAAAGCCCGUUUCGGCGGGGAAGAUAAUGACGGUACCCGCAGAAGAAGCCCCGGCUAACUUCGUGCCAGCAGCCGC